rnacentral:rRNA from 1 species
UACAGGGGGUGCAAGCGUUAAUCGGAAUUACUGGGCGGAAAGCGUGCGUAGACGGUCAUGUAAGUCGGGUGUGAAAGCCCCGGGCUCAACCUGGGAAUUGCAUUCGAGACUGCAUGGCUAGGGUGCGGAAGAGGGAAGCGGAAUUUCCGGUGUAGCGGUGAAAUGCGUAGAUAUCGGAAGGAACACCAGUGGCGAAAGCGGCUUCCUGGUCCAGCACCGACGUUCAGGCACGAAAGCGUGGGGAGCAAACAGG